rnacentral:ribozyme from 15 species
AAGCUACAAGCAACAAACAAAUAUUCAUAUUUUACUGUUGCAUUGAUAACUAAUUAAUAAAGUACAUAGUCACGCUCGCUACAGGUCACUUUUCUUUUUAGGGUUUUGCUUCUUCCCUUUAGACUUUGAUUUCUUCUUCUUUUUCUUUUUCUU